rnacentral:rRNA from 1 species
GGGGAAUCUUCCGCAAUGGGCGAAAGCCUGACGGAGCAAGACCGCGUGGGGGAAGAAGGCUCUUGGGUUGUAAACUCCUUUUCUCUGGGAAGAACAAAAUGACGGUACCAGAGGAAUCAGCAUCGGCUAACUCCGUGCCAGCAGCCGCGGUAAGACGGAGGAUGCAAGCGUUAUCCGGAAUGAUUGGGCGUAAAGCGUCCGCAGGUGGCAGUUCAAGUCUGCUGUCAAAGACCGGGGCUCAACCUCGGAAAGGCAGUGGAAACUGAACAGCUAGAGUAUGGUAGGGGCAAAGGGAAUUCCUGGUGUAGCGGUGAAAUGCGUAGAGAUCAGGAAGAACAUCGGUGGCGAAGGCGCUUUGCUGGACCAUAACUGACACUCAGGGACGAAAGCUAGGGGAGCGAAUGGGAUUAGAUACCCCAGUAGUC